rnacentral:rRNA from 1 species
AUACGGAUGGUGCGAGCGUUGUUCGGAAUUACUGGGCGUAAAGGGCGCGUAGGCGGCGAUGUAAGUCAAAUGUGAAAGUCCUCGGCUUAACCGGGGAAGUGCAUCUGAAACUGCAUCGCUUGAGUAUGGGAGAGGAAAGUGGAAUUCCCGGUGUAGAGGUGAAAUUCGUAGAGAUCGGGAGGAAUACCGGUGGCGAAGGCGACUUUCUGGACCAAUACUGACGCUGAGGCGCGAAAGCGUGGGGAGCAAACAGGAUUAGAAACCCCUGUAGUCC